CCUGAGGGGGACCUUCCAGUCUUUCUGUCUGGGAGAAGUAAGGAGUUUUCCCAAGAGAAUCCUGCUGUUCCUUAUAGAGCCUUUCCACCACAAGCUGCAAGAGCAGUUCAGGAACAUCUACUGAAUGCGCCCUGAAGGUUCAGAAACCAGAAUGCAACUCAAAACAUUCCAAAAUUUAUUACAAUAUUGAAUGCUAUUUUCACAUUGAUUUGGAGAUUUGGGAAUGAUUCACCUGGUUUGAAUUUUGCAUUAAUGUCAGAAAGAGGAUCUCUUGAGUGCGUUUGGGAACCAUGUGGCCUGACUGGUAGCCCUGCAGGGAGUUCCCAUGGAGCAGGCAGGGUUCUGUGCCUGCAGAUCACAGCAUAUUGAAGAUCUAAAGAGAGGCUUCAGAUGCUCAGUUAGAAGUCAAGAAGCAGAAACCAGACAAAGCACAGGGUUUCAAGUGCCUCACACAUCUGCAGCCCAAACAGAUUUUGCCUUGGAGCUCUUGAAUUCACCUUUAACCAACCUUUUUGCAUGAUUCCUUAUGCAGGUGUGGGUUAUUUUGGAGUUACAACUUGCCUAAUACUUCCAUGUACAGCUCCAGGUUCACUGUGUCCAAUGAGAGACAGUGUCUGAAAACUGAAUCUAAAUACAUUUGUAGGGAGAAAGUUCAUCACAACAAGGCCAAUGAAUGAGCAGCACAAAGAGGGAAGGUGUGCUGCCAGCUAAACCUGCCUUUGGCACAGAGGGUGGGUCCUGAUUUAUAUUUCACUCAGUGCUUAAGCAGCUUUGAAUGCUGGUUUUAACACUGUCUCACCCCCGUGAGACUUGGAGGCUUUUCAGAAAAAGGAGAACAAAGCUUCACCAGAAGGUCAAAGUGAGCACCAAGAAGGUUUUGUCCCACCUUUGAUGCUGACAGUGACCCACACAAACACUCAGCUCCUUGCAGCUGUGAGAGGGGGCCAUGAGCUGCUGCCCCUCUGCAGUGCUGAGGGAUGGAGAACACCUCUGGAACAGUGCUGAGAGAUGGAGAACACCUCUGGAACAGUGCUGAGAGAUGGAGACCACCUCUGGAACCGUGCUGAGGGAUGGAGAACACCUCUGGAACAGUGCUGAGAGAUGGAGAACACCUCUGGAACAGUGCUGAGGGAUGGAGACUGCCUCUGGAACAGUGCUGGGGGAUGGAGACUGCCUCUGGAACAGAGCUGAGGGAUGGAGGCCACCUCUGAAACAGGCUCCUCCAGGAGGACUGGCUCCUUGGGGCUGGGGUUUGUGAUGUGUGUGGAGCCUAAGAGACAUCAACUAACAGCUCAACUUCUGAACAAGCUCAAGGCCCAAUUUCUGCCCUCUGAGGCAGCAACCAGGCCAACUUUUGGGCCUAGAGGGUGUUAGUCCUAGGUGGGACAUGAGAGCAGUGGGAUGAGAGAUUUUCCAGGCCAAACCCAAGCUCUUCCUCUAACAUCUCCUCCUUGAGGGCAGUGGGGUGUUAUCCAUCCCUUGAUACCUUUACCCCAGACUAAGUUCAGGCUGGCUCUGUGCCAUUCUAAAGGAUUCAUGCUCAGGCAGGAGCCCUGGGCUUGAUGUGGGAAACGCUGCUGUGCCUCAUGCAGGAGUUCAGCAGAGAUGACCACAAAGGUUCCUGCUGGCCUUACAGCCAAUAUUUACCCUCCUGACCUUGAUCUUAGACAUCUUGUUCUGUGAUUCUCUGAUAGAAGAGAAAUUUUAAAAAUUCUGUACAAAUGAAGUUAUAUUACCCUAAGAAUAACUUAAGGAUCUGUGGUGGUUUGACCAGGAAGAAGUGGGAAUUCUGGGAUGUUGUGGUCAAACCAAUGGGUGCUUGGAUUUUGAUAUUGGCACCUGGUGUAGCCAGUGGGAUUUUGGACACACCUCUGAGAACACACAGGAGUUAAAAGCAGAGCUUCGGCCCUGGGAGGCUCUUGGGACUUCGAGGGACAGAGGUCGGAUCUCCCUUCCCCUGUCCAGCCGCUGCUGCUGGGCAGGGGAGGGGCAGCCAUGUGGUAGGCCUGGGCCUGGACAGAGAUGGGGGUGAGGAGGCCUUGGAGGAUGGAAGGGUGGAGAGCAACAAGAGACAUCGGGCAGCCAUUCCCCCCCUCCACCUUGGAGACAGACAGAGAGAGAGAGAGAGAGUGCAGCCUGUGUCGUUAUCGUGAAACUCAGUAAACGUGCUGGCAGCAGGCAGCCCGGCUGAGGAGAUGGGGGGGGUGCAGCCAGGAGCCCAGCCACCUGGAGGAGUUUUUAACCCUUUUUGGACAAUGAAAACCUUACAGAACAUUAACCCUUCCUAGACGAGUGAUAAGAGUGGAGGAGGACAAAGGAAAUGAACGAGUGAUGGAGGUCUGGACCAGAGAGAGAGAGAGAGUGAGAGAUGUUGAAAGAAUGGAGAAGAUGGAGUGGCAUUUUAUGCUGGACUCUUUCGUGUAGCCAUGGACAGAGCCAUGUUUCCGUGUGAUACAGAGACUGAGUCCAGGGGGAGAAAUGUCCCAGUGCCAAAGAAGAUUCAGUGUGGGUACCCCUCGGCCCCAGGGGGUAUAUAAAAUAUGGGGGGGACAGAUGUCCCAAAGGUGGGAAGGUGAGAUACUGUGCUUUUCUGGAACUGGACAAAGCAUCCUUAAAAAAACAACCCUGGAAGCAGUCCUGAUCCCUGUUCGGUGGUGAGAGCACCGGAACAAGGACAGAAAAGGCCACCACGACACACGGAAGGACUCCCUCUCCUCUUGAGGAACUGAAAGUUUGAGCAAUCUAAAGGGUGGUGUUGGACCCAGAACUGGUGAUUUUGGAGGAUGUAUUGUAUUGGGAAUUUAGGGGGGAGGAGGAGGAAAGUGUUUUUUGUGAGGUUUUCAUUUUCCUCGUGUUUUCUUUUUUCUUUUGUGUGUAGUUUAGUAAUUGUUUGUGUGUAGUUUAGUUAAUAAACUUUUGUUUAUGUUUAAGCUGGA